AUUGAACGCUGGCGGCAUGCCUUACACAUGCAAGUCGAACGGCAGCACGGGAGCAAUCCUGGUGGCGAGUGGCGAACGGGUGAGUAAUAUAUCGGAACGUGCCCAGUCGUGGGGGAUAACGUAGCGAAAGCUACGCUAAUACCGCAUACGAUCUAUGGAUGAAAGCGGGGGAUCGCAAGACCUCGCGCGAUUGGAGCGGCCGAUAUCAGAUUAGGUAGUUGGUGAGGUAAAGGCUCACCAAGCCGACGAUCUGUAGCUGGUCUGAGAGGACGACCAGCCACACUGGGACUGAGACACGGCCCAGACUCCUACGGGAGGCAGCAGUGGGGAAUUUUGGACAAUGGGCGCAAGCCUGAUUCAGCAAUGCCGCGUGCAGGAUGAAGGCCUUCGGGUUGUAAACUGCUUUUGUACGGAACGAAACGGCGAGCUCUAAUACAGUUUGCUAAUGACGGUACCGUAAGAAUAAGCACCGGCUAACUACGUGCCAGCCGCCGCCGUAACAC
rnacentral:rRNA from 1 species